GUGCUCACUUUGGCAGCAUAUAUAAUGGAACAAUGAUACAGAGAAGAUUAGCAGAGCUCCUAUGCAAGAAUGACAGGCAAUUUUGUGAAGCAUUCCAUAUUUUA